GGACGAACGCUGGCGGCGUGCCUAAUACAUGCAAGUCGAGCGGACAGAUGGGAGCUUGCUCCCCUGAUGUUAGCGGCGGACGGGUGAGUAACACGUGGGUAACCUGCCUGUAAGACUGGGAUAACUCCGGGAAACCGGGGCUAAUACCGGAUGGUUGUCUGAACCGCAUGGUUCAGACAUAAAAGGUGGCUUCGGCUACCACUUACAGAUGGACCCGCGGCGCAUUAGCUAGUUGGUGAGGUAACGGCUCACCAAGGCGACGAUGCGUAGCCGACCUGAGAGGGUGAUCGGCCACACUGGGACUGAGACACGGCCCAGACUCCUACGGGAGGCAGCAGUAGGGAAUCUUCCGCAAUGGACGAAAGUCUGACGGAGCAACGCCGCGUGAGUGAUGAAGGUUUUCGGAUCGUAAAGCUCUGUUGUUAGGGAAGAACAAGUGCCGUUCAAAUAGGGCGGCACCUUGACGGUACCUAACCAGAAAGCCACGGCUAACUACGUGCCAGCAGCCGCGGUAAUACGUAGGUGGCAAGCGUUGUCCGGAAUUAUUGGGCGUAAAGGGCUCGCAGGCGGUUUCUUAAGUCUGAUGUGAAAGCCCCCGGCUCAACCGGGGAAGGGGUCACUCUGGGAAACUGGGGAACUUGAGUGCAGGAAGAGGAGCAGUGGAAUUUCCACGGUGUAGCGGUGAA
rnacentral:rRNA from 1 species